rnacentral:misc_RNA from 1 species
GAUACUAUGUGCGUGUGUAAAAUAUCACAAAAAAUGAACAACAAAUGACUGUCAUGGAAGUUCCAAAGUCUUAAAAUCUAGAAUAUUCCUUACCUCUUUUCGCAAAUUAUGAGAUAUCUUAUUUGUGGUACCUUGCAGCGAUAAAUCACCGUUCAUUGUAAUAGUUUUAAAUGUGAUAAUGAUAUCCUUGUAUUGACUAUCGUUUUUCGAUAGUUACGAGAAUUUUCGUUUAUUACUUUGAGACAAUCCGUCACUUCCUUUCUCUUAUAAAGUUUCCCUUCAACUCCGUUGAAAACUGAGCAUCAAACAGGAGACGAACGAUUUGUUGUCAUGGCAAUGUUAGUUCACACGCAUGCACACUAGUGGACACUGACGGCGCUCGUUUACCGUUGUUACACAUUUCCGGUACAAGUACGCGGGCAUUAGAGAAGGACGGAACGGUCUCUCUCUUUACCCCUAUAUCGCGUUUUUAGUUCGCUCACGCGCUCUGUACUUA